rnacentral:misc_RNA from 1 species
UUUUUUUUUUUUUUUGCUGGUAAAGUAAUUCCUACUACCAAGGUCCUUACUGUGCAUAAAUAGGCAAUGCAGGACGCAAACCAACAGGCAAAUUGGUUUAUUCACAACACGUCACUUGCAUCAUUUGCCGCAUUCUUAAAAGACCUGGUAAAACACAAUUAAACAUCCAAGUUUGAGCUCUCCACAGGAUCAAUGACCUCUCUGUAC